rnacentral:rRNA from 1 species
GAUGAACGCUGGCGGCGUGCCUAAUACAUGCAAGUCGAACGCUUUGUCUUUAAUUGAUAUGAAGAGCUUGCUCUGAUUUGAUUUUAUCUGACAAAGAGUGGCGAACGGGUGAGUAACACGUGGGUAACCUACCUCUUAGCAGGGGAUAACAUUUGGAAACAAGUGCUAAUACCGUAUAACACUAACAACCGCAUGGUUGUUAGUUGCAAGAUGGUUCUGCUAUCACUCAGAGCUGGCCCCGCGGGGCAUCAGCUAGUUGGUAAGGUAAUGGCUUGCCGAGGCGAGGGGGCGUAGCCGGGUGGGGGGGCUGAUCGGCGACAAUGGGACGGAGACACGGCCCAUACUCCUACGGUAGGCAGCAGUAGAGAAUCUUCCACAAUGGGCGCAAGCCUGAUGGAGCAACUCCGCGUGUGUGAUGAAGGGUUUCUGCUCGUAAAACACUGUUAUAAGAGAAGAACGACAUUGAGAGUAACUGUUCAGUGUGUGACGGUAUCUUAUCAGAAAGGAACGGCUAAAUACGUG